CCGCGAGCGAGCGUCAUGAGCGGGCGGCCGAGGACGCUGCCGCGGACGUGGGGCUCCGGGCCGUGCUUGCCGCCGCCGCCGCGGGCCGAGGGCCGCCCCCCGGCGGACGGGGACGGCGACGCGGGCGGCUUCUGCCCGGCGGCCGGCGCGCUGUGGAUCUACCCCACGCAGUGCCCGGUGCGCGACUACCAGCUGCGCAUGGCGGGCGCCGCGCUGCUGCGCAACACGCUGCUCUGCCUGCCCACCGGGCUGGGCAAGACGUUCGUGGCCGCCGUGGUCAUGUACAACUUCUACCGCUGGUUCCCGGCCGGCAAGGUGGUGUUCCUGGCGCCCAGCAGGCCGCUCGUGGCGCAGCAGAUGGAGGCCUGCUUCCGCGUCAUGGGCAUCCCGCGCGCGCACAUGGCCCAGGUGACAGGCGCCACCCCGGCGGGCAGCAGGCGGCAGCUGUGGCGCGGCCGCGUCCUCUUCCUCACCCCGCAGGUCCUGGCCAACGACCUCGCGCGCGGGGCCUGUCCGGCCGCCGCCGUCAAGUGUCUGGUGGUGGACGAGGCGCACCGGGCGCUGGGGAACCACGCGUACUGCCAGGUCGUGAGAGAACUCGUCAAAUACACAAGCCACUUCAGGAUCUUGGCUCUUAGCGCUACACCGGGCAGCGACAUGAAGGCUGUGCAGCAGGUUAUUACUAACCUACUAAUUGGCCAGAUAGAACUUCGCUCUGAAGAGUCUCCUGAUAUUUUGCCUUAUUCUCAUGAAAGACGAGUUGAAAAAAUAGUUGUUCCCCUUGGUGAAGAACUUGCAGCUAUCCAAAGGUCCUAUCUCCAGAUCCUGGAAGCUUUUGCGAGCUGUUUGAUCCAGAGGAAUAUUUUGAUGCGGAGGGACAUUGCCAAUCUAACAAAGUAUCAGAUAAUUUUAGCAAGAGAUCAAUUUAGGAAAAACCCAUCUCCAAAUAUUUUGGGAAUACAGCAAGGUAUAAUUGAAGGAGAAUUUGCUAUUUGCAUUAGUUUGUAUCAUGGCUAUGAAUUAUUGCAGCAAAUGGGAUUGAGAUCGCUGUAUUUAUUUCUUUGUGGGAUUAUGGAUGGAACUAAAGGAGUGACUCGGACAAAGACUGAACUUAGCCGAAAUGAGGACUUCAUGACCCUCUAUAGUCAGCUAGAGGGCAUGUUUGCACAGACAUGCGGUACUUCAGAAGGUGACAUUUCUCCUGUCCAGAAAGGCGAUAGAGAUAAAAAUUUUUUCUAUAGUCAUCCAAAGUUAAAGAAACUAGAAGAAGUGGUAGUUGAACAUUUCACGUCUUGGAAUGCUCGAAGCACAUCUGAGAAGAAAUGUGAUGAGACACGAGUCAUGAUCUUCUCUUCAUUCCGAGACAGCGUGCAGGAGAUUGCAGCAAUGCUAAAGCGGCACCAGCCUGUCAUCCGAGUAAUGACUUUUGUUGGCCAUGCCUCAGGGAAAAGCGUGAAGGGCUUUACCCAAAAGGAGCAACUAGAGGUAGUGAAACAAUUUCGUAGUGGUGGUUACAAUACUUUAGUUUCUACUUGUGUCGGUGAAGAAGGUUUGGAUAUAGGAGAAGUUGAUCUUAUAGUAUGUUUUGAUGCUCAGAAGAGCCCAAUUCGUCUCGUACAACGAAUGGGUAGAACCGGCCGCAGACGUCAAGGCAGGAUUGUUGUUAUCCUUACAGAAGGACGAGAAGAACGUAAUUAUAAUCAAAGUCAGUCCAAUAGAAGACAUAUUUAUAAAGCAAUUGCAGGUAACAAACAGGUUCUUCAUUUUUACCAAGGAAGUCCGCGAAUGGUCCCUGAUGGCAUCAAUCCACAGCUCCAUAAGAUGUUCAUCACAUGUGGUGUGUAUGAGUCAGAGAAACCUCGGAGCUUGCAGCGGAAAUCUUCAGCCUUUUCUUCCAGGAAUGGAAUGAGGCAAAAUUCAAAGAAAGAUUGGUUACUCUCAGAAGAAGAAUUUAAGUUAUGGAACAGACUUUACAGAUUAAGAAGCAGUGAUGAAAUUAAGGAAAUAACAUUGCCUCAAGUUCAGUUUUUGUCUUUAUCAAGUGAGGAAGACAUACCAACGGAAGAACCAGCCCCUGGAACUCGUCAGCUCUCUCUCUCUGAAUGGAGCGUGUGGCAAGACCACCCUUUUCCCACACAUCAGGUUGGCCAUUCUGAUCGAUGCCUCCAUUUUAUAAACAUCAUGCAGAUGAUUGAAGGGAUGAGACGUGAAGAGAAUGAAUGCAGCUAUGAAUUGGAAAUUCAGCCUUUCUUGCAAAUGGAAGAUGUUAGUCCAACAUUUAUUGCUAGCAAGAAUGCAUAUCAUUCUCUUGCCAACAGCGUCUCUGCUAGACACAAGAAAUCUUCAUGCACAAAGAAUAUAAAUCAAGGCAGUUUUUUCUCAGUGACAGAGCCUAAAGAAAAAGGUUCCGGGAAUUGUAGACAGCCUCUUGCCACACCUGCUAGAAUUGCUCCUCUGAAGGACAGAGCGCCUAAAGAGCUAGAAGACCAGUCUGAAAAGGCAGAGAGUGAAGUAGCUGGACCUGCUCUAGCUACUGAUGGAAACUGUGCUGCUGACAACGUUUGCCAGGCAGACCUGUUACAGGAUAAAAGGGCAUCAGGCAGACAUGAAGUGGUUGUCCCCUGUGCCCACAGUGACAGUGUCACUCAGCCAUGUGGAUUAGUAACAGGAUGCAGGUUGAUGAACAAACCUGCUGGAAAUUUUUCGGAUUCUGGUUAUAACAGUUUCAGUGAUGAGAAAUCAGCUUCAUCUAGCAUGCUUUUUCCACUGGAGGAAGAACUUUGUUCAAGUAAAACAGAUGAGGAAUUUAACUGUAGUUCAGUAACAGAAGAGCUAGCAGCUAAUGUGGAGAGUUUUUUAUCUCGUUCUCCUCCACCUCUGACUGAACUCACAAGUUUGGAGUGUGAGAUUCUUGGCAGUUCUGCUCUUCAGAAUUUGCUUCUCAGCCCCCACACAGAGAACUUAGAAAACGCUGAAUCUCCCUGUUUGACAGUUGUGGAUUCUCCACAGGAUUUAACACUGGAGCCACAUGAACUUACCAGUCAUCUUGUUGAAAAAUGUUGCCUUUACCGGGCAACUAAUGAUAAGGUUUUUGACAAGCCAAAGUUCUGUGACUAUGACAAUAAAAUACAUAAGGCUGCUCAAAAUGAAAAUUCUGCAUCCUGCACUCAUAUUCAUACAAACACAGAGCACCCAAAGUAUUUUGCUGAAAAGAAUCAAGAUAUUGACAGUGGCGGGCUCCCAAUAUCUCAUCCUCACCAGGACGAAAGUUUAAUACUAUUUGAAGAUGUUAAUAUGGAAGUGAGUGGUGUAAGCCUUUCUGCCUCUGACAGUGAAUGCAAAUCUCCAGGUGUCUCUGAGAAAGAUGCUAUAAAUGAGCACGGACUGCUCGCUAAUUUCUCAAUUUCUGAUGAACUCUUGUUUGACAACAAUCCUGAGCCCCAAGACCAAAUUGUCUGCAUUAAUAGUAGUUGCAGAUCUCAUGAAGAUUUGAGAGCAGUACAUGGGGACAGAGAGAAGAGUGGUGACUGUGCUUUUGACGGCUCAAAGGAAAUAUUUUCUGUUACAUUUGAUUUAGGGUUUCGUGCUCCAGAUUCUGAUGAUGAGAACUUAGAACGUAUAUCCGAUACAAAGAAGAAUGGCUCUGUAGAUGACGCAUCUGGGCAGUGUGCAGAUGUGAAGAAUGUGGGCGUCAUCGCCGCACCGUCUCCUGGACUGUGUGGUGCAGAUUGCAUAUUAAACCAGGUAACACCAGAAGGUUCUGUUGACUGUUCUACAAGAGAAGAUAAGCAGAGUUCAGCUUUUGCACCGAGUGUAGCAAAAGAGAAAGGAUGUAUAUCUCCUGGUUAUUCUCAGUUUUCCUUGCCAGUCAGAGAAAAAGUUAUGAGUACACCACUUUCUGAAUCAAAUACUUGGACCCCGUCUUAUAAGAAGAACAGGCAAAUGCCCAAGACACCAGAUUCUAACAGAGGAAGAAUAAAUCCACAAAGUUCCAAAGAAACGUUGAAUUUAACUUUUGAUGAUUUAGGUCUUCCUGUAGAAAAGAAAAAAAGUGGGGGGAAAAUGAGUCUGCAUCAGUCUUGUUAUCCUGCUGCAGGUGAACACUUAAGAAGCAGUGAAAGUGAAGAUGAUGUGAUUUUCCGAAGAAAAACUAGCAAGCCAAAGAGAGAUCUUUUAGAAUCCCCUGAGAAUCAGAAAAAUAGUGACGUUGAUUCUCCACUUCAGGCUGUCAGAAAGCACCGGACUCCUCUAAACAGAUUAGAACUAUCAUCUAGUGAUGAGGAUGACAAUUUUCAACAACAUUCACAUUUAGAAGACUUCGAGGAGUUAAGCAAAAAUGCCAAAAGGAUUCUCAAAGUUCAAAAGAAGCAGAGUCACCUAAAGCUGAUAGCUAGAAAGUUUUUAGAUGAUGAAGCAGAGCUUUCUGAAGAUGAAGAAUGUGUUUCAUCAGAUGAAAGGGAUGAGUCAGAAAGUGAGCAGAAUUCCUCCUUACUUGACUUCUUAAAUGACGAGCCGCAGCUUUCACAGGCCGUCGAUGAUUCUGAAAUGAGAGCUAUUUAUAUAAAGUCUUUGCGCAGCCCAGAGGUGGGCAAUCAGUACAGAAGGAUGCAUACGAAAUCCAACGUAAAUGUCUUCUCACAGAUUCCUGAGCAAGAUGAAACCUACUUAGAGGACAGUUUUUGCGUUGAUAAAGAGGAGUCUUCCAAAAGCCAGUCAAGUGAAGAAGAAGUGUGUGUUGAUUUUAACAUAACUGAAGACUUCUUUGAAAACGGCAGUAAAAAGUAUAAAACCCGGCACGCAGUUAAGCUGAAAGAAAUGAAGAUGAGGCAGAAUUGUGCGGGUUCUAAAAAGAAAUUAUCCAGGAUUAUUUUACCUGACGAUUCCAGUGAGGAAGAAAAGGAAGUAACAGAGCAAGGGAGCGCCGGCAUCAAGGUCGGCCCGGGCGUUCUCGCCGCGGACAGGCAGCCGCAGGGCCCCUGCGUGACCCUGCCGCCUCCCGGGUCUUCCCUGCAGCCCGGGGGCAGGGGCCGUGCUGGAUCCGAAGGCGGUCAGGUGCCAGACCAGACACGAAAGACGCCUCUUCCUGACACCCCCGGCUUCAACCCGCAGGCUCCUAGAAACAUUGCCUCUACCUCUCCAUUUACUUCUGUCGACUCGCAGACAGACUUCACAGAGCGUCCAGCUAAUCUCAAGGGUGACUGUGCUCUGGAGGUUUCUGGCACGUUACUGGCAAACUUCUGCUCAAGACCACAACUGGUCGGCACACGUGCGUCUCUUCAGGCUCCACGGGAAGACCAGAGAGCUUGUAUUCUUGUAGAUAGUCGUGAGGUCACUUCUGGCGCAGAAGUGAUCUCCUCCCUAAGAGCCAUUCACGGCUUCCACGUGGAGGUUUGUCCUCUUAAUGGCUGUGAUUACAUAGUGAGUAACCGGAUGGUGGUGGAGAGGAGGUACCAUUCUGAGAUGGCAAAUAGUCUCCAUAAGAGGAAACUCAUCGGGCAGAUCCAGUAUCUACAGAACUUGUUUGAGAGAAUCUGUGUGAUUGUGGAAAAAGACAGAGAAAAAGCAGGAGAGUCCUCCAGGAUAUUUAAGAGAACGAAGAGCUAUGACAGCCUGCUGACCGCCUUAAUCAGUGCCGGAAUCCGAAUUCUUUUCAGUUCCUGCCAAGAAGAAACUGCGGACCUGCUCAAGGAACUGUCUUUAGUGGAGCAAAGGAAGAAUGUUGGCAUUCAUGUUCCAACUGUGGUGAACAGUAGUAAAUGGGAGGCACUUCAGUUUUAUCUCAGUAUCCCCAAUAUUAGCUACAUAACUGCACUAAAUAUGUGCCACCAGUUCUCAUCUGUGAAGAAAAUGACUAAUAGCACAGCUCAAGAAAUCUCCAUGUAUGCAAGAGUCACCCAGGAAAAGGCAGAGGAGAUCCACAGAUACAUUCGCUGCUUGUUUGACGUGCACAUGUUACCAGAUGCUCUUCGCCCCGGCAGACUCAGAUCUCCUGUGUCAUCGGCCUGCUGAAAGACCUGUGUGCUGUGACCUGCGGCCUGCAGUUUACCAUAUAACACUACUUAGCUCUGCAAGGAAUUGAACCUGGGAUCCUGGUGCGUCAGGCAUGAAAGUCUCUCAUAAUCCUCAUGCUAUCUCCCAGGGACCCUGUAAAAGCAGCCCAAGAUCAAGUAGACUCUUAGGACAGCAGUCAAGACACUGAGGCCUCUGGCUGUAACAUCAGGACAGUGACUAGCUAAAGCUGAUCUGGAGGGGCCGGGUGGCGGUGCACCUGGCUGAGUGUGUACGUUCCGGCUCCGGCGAGGAACAACCCGGGUUCAGACCUUCAGCCCCUCGUGCAGGGGAAGCUGCCUGAGUGGUGGAGCAGAGCCGUAGGUCUCUCCCCUCCCCUCUCAACUUCUCUCUUAAAUCACAUUUACUUAUUUA